CCUUCGGGUCUAGUGGCGCACGGGUGCGUAACGCGUGGGAAUCUGCCCUCAGGUACGGAAUAACUCAGGGAAACUUGAGCUAAUACCGUAUAAUGACUUCGGUCCAAAGAUUUAUCGCCUGAGGAUGAGCCCGCGUAGGAUUAGCUUGUUGGUGAGGUAAAAGCUCACCAAGGCGACGAUCCUUAGCUGGUCUGAGAGGAUGAUCAGCCACACUGGGACUGAGACACGGCCCAGACUCCUACGGGAGGCAGCAGUGGGGAAUAUUGGACAAUGGGCGAAAGCCUGAUCCAGCAAUGCCGCGUGAGUGAUGAAGGCCUUAGGG
rnacentral:rRNA from 1 species